AUCACAUGUGCCUUCAUCUCCAACACAUAUGCCUCCACCUCUACCACUGAUGCCUCCAUUUACAACUUUUAUGGAAUCUCUUGCAGCUCCAUCUCCCUCCUCUGCUAUGGCCUAAAUCUUUGCACUUGAUCUUCCUAUUGCACACCGAAAAGGUAUACAGUCUACUCACAAACUUCUCUUCAUUGGGUUACUUUGAGCUAUCAUCUUCUACAAACUUCUCAUAUUGCUUGUUUUUCUUCCUUGUCUUUUGCAUCUAUUCCUAAGAUUGGAGGCGAAUCUCUUUCUCAUCUUGAGUGGCCACAAGUUAAGGUUGAAGUAAUAUGAGCACUUCAAAGCAGUGGAACAUGUGACCUUGUUGCUCUCCAGCUAGGGAGGGAGGUUGCUGAGUUAAAGUGGGCACUGAUGAUCAACCUUAUCACAUA
rnacentral:lncRNA from 1 species